GCCCAGAUAGCUCAGUUGGUAGAGCAUCAGGUUUUUAAUCUGAGGGUCCAGGGUUCAAGUCCCUGUUCUGGCA
rfam:Loxodonta africana unplaced genomic scaffold scaffold_1, whole genome shotgun sequence.